GAGAGCAAUAACCAUGAAAACCAGAAAGAUCUAAUGCUGUUGUCAGUUCCAAGUAGUGAUGUAAAGCCAAAGAAGAGAGAAAAGUUGGACUCCAACAUGGUGUAGAUGGGGAUAACACCAUGGGGGCCAAUAGGACCAGUGAAUUAGAGAGAAUCUGAUCUUUGGACAACACUUUGGAGCAGAGCUGCCAGCAAUCCUGGGCUACUUGUGUACUUCUGUACCAUUUUGGAAUGCAGACCUCAGUCACUGUCCCAGACUGAAGAAGUUGCCUGUAUAUCAAUUUGAAGACAGAAAGAAACCUGCAGUGGGUAAUUUAUAAAGAACAGAAUUCUGGAGUCUGGAAAGUCCAACAGCAUGGUACCAGUAUCUGCUUGGCAUCUGAUAUUUCAUGAUCAAUCAGAGGUCUCCGACCAAGUUUCUAUUCUGCUGCUUCUGCUGAAUUCAGUUGACCUUGACAGUGUCUCAAGCCCAACUGCACGACUUUGAUGAGCACAGAAUCAGAGUAACUUCUUAUACCUCAAGGCACUUUGACCUAGUCAAGGAUGCCUUUGACUAUGCUUGCUCUGUAAGGGCCCUUCCCUUUGUUCCCUGGAGUGUUAACAUAUUAUGAUAAACAAUUCCUUUGUUUCAACAAAUGUGUUCAAAAGUAGCCUGUGUUCAAGACUAGCCUGUCUGUCAAUAUAUAACUCAAAGCAUAUAUCCAACUAUGUAACUUUGUCACUUGCUUUGUACCUCCCACUUCUGAAUACUAUAUAAACUAAGAUUUCUGUAAAUUCAGUGUUGUAGCCUUUGUGGAAUUAUCCUGCAGGAGUCCACUGGUGUCAAGAUUCAACAGUC